AUCUUCAAAGGAGAAUAUAACAAAUCAAAUUGAUGCCGAUGACAUCCAAUAGAAGACGUCUGUUAUUUGUUAUCUUUUUCUGAGUCUGUCACUGAUUUUUGUGGGAAGUAAACGAAUCUGGAAAUAUUAAAAUGAAUAAUUGGCAUUUACCUUGGACCGAGCUGUGAGCUAUGAGAAAAUCUGCAUGAGUCGGAAUAGAAUAAGAAGAUACUGAAUCAGUUUCUGUUUGUUCCUUUUCCAUCUUGCGAGACUCCAAUAAAAUGCCGCCAUCAGCUUCAUCACCUCUGCAAGCCUAAACAAAAAAUCAGACUAGAUAAAAGCCGGAUAAAAUAAAUUCAAGCAGAAAUGAAUCGGGAUAUAUGUCGAUAAUUUAAAAAUAGAACGAGACUGGAAAGUGUUCGUAGUUUUUACCUGGAUGAAGAAUAGCUUAGGUUUGCCCGCAAGUGUAACACAUUUAUCGGCAGUGAAAGGCUUCCAAAGCCUAUCGGAUUUGUAUAUGACGUCCUUUGC